GGAGACUGUGGCUCAGUGGCAGAGUGUCUGCUUUUCACACAGAAGGUUCCAGGUUUGAUUCCUCACAUCUCCA